GCCGCUGAUAGUGGAAAGACGAAGAAGACGCGGCAGAGCUCAGUCUGUCGCGCUCUUCCUCGAUGGGAACACUGGAGACUUUAAUGGUCACUUUGAACACCACGUCCUGAUUGGCCCUGAUUCCAUAGAGGUAAGUCUGGAGCCUCGUGUUCUCAGCUCUGCAGACUGUGAAGGCAGCCACAGUUUGAAAUAUCCUGCAGAACCAAGGUGUUGUAAUGAAGGUUGACCACUGGAGGGCGGUGAACCCCUUGAAUUGAAGUCAGAACUAUGCAUUGACACCUCGGAGGGUAAAAAAACGAAAUAAAGUCAACAUUUGACAUUAAGAGCGAUUUAAAUGAGUCCAGUAAUAGGAGUGUAGGAUCAGGGAUGUUUUACUCUAAGCAGAAUUAAAGAACUUAUUUAUCGUUUGUGCUGAAGCGAAGCGUCAAUACAUCCUGUUAAACUUCAUUGGAUGUCGGUACUAUGUCAAGUUUUCUACUUCAAGUGCAACAUCACUAUACAUAGGGAAAGAUGGCGUCAUUCUUCUUGUGACCCAAAAGGGAACUUUAUUGUUUUGAUAAGAUUUCUAGCAGUAUACUUUUCCCCCCUUCAAGCUGAUUGGGUUUGAAUCUAUGUGGAUUUAAACAGUUUCUCUCCCCUGAUGACUUGCACUGGGCUCUGACUCUGAAUGGAGAUAAAGUGCAUCUUUAGCCCUGACAAGCCAGAGUUUCUGAGGAGACACUAAACCAGUGAUGGUCCAGUGUUAGAGUUACAAGACAUUAACACCUUCUUUGGUCCCUUUUCAGGUCCUCAAACCAGUGACAUCACUGCUCGUCUGGACUUGAAUAAGGUUCGUGUCUUAACUGUGUUUCCAGCAGACGCUCUCAACGCAUGUCUGAAGUGAUGUUUAGCACUGGGCUCUGAAAAUCAGUGGUGACAAAAGUGCAACGCUGCCCUUGACAAGGCAGAAUCUGAGCAGAUGAUGGUGCAAACAUUUGAGGAUUGUGAUGUUGAGUUGUUUGUGACGGUGGUUUUACUCUUUUUCAGGUACUGAUCCUCAGACACGGACAUCAUCUGCCUGUUGUCUCUCUUUCAUUGUGUAUAUAUGUUUUAAAGAAUUCUCAUCUUUGCUCUGACUUUCAAAUAAAACUCUGAAUUUUAAAUGUUUAGAUUCUGCUCUUUUCUACAAACGUCACACUAGAGUAAGGAACAGUACAUUAUUGAAAUGUGAACCACGUAGUGAGUUUAUUGGGUGUAAAUUAAAUGACAAAUCUCAGUCAUCAACAUAAGGUUUGAGAAAGUAACUUUGAACACUUUCACAAUGGGAACAAUAUUAACUGAAUACAGAAUAUAUGGUAAGAGUAUCAUGUGUUAAUGUUGCAAAGAAAGCUGUAUUUUAUAACAUCUUAA